rnacentral:lncRNA from 1 species
AAGUAGGAGCCAUGAUAUCCAGCUGCUUUUGGUGAGCUCCAGUUUGCUUCGGGGCUUUUCGUGUCAUAUCUAGUCACUUUUGGUAUUGUAUAGAAGUUAGUUAUAUGGCGGGGUGUGUCCCGACCUUAGUUAAACUCUGUGUAUUAUCUAGAGGCUUUAUAGACCUAAUGUACAGUCAAGGUGGUGUUUUGUUAAUAGACAUGAUGGCUCCAACGGUCAAGUAUUGUAUAUACAUAUAUAUGUGUGCUCGAGCUUAUACAGGUGAUCAUUUCCUUUCAUAUGCAACAUGAUGCUGUUCGAAUUUUGGGUUGUCAUAGAGGUAUGCAUGGGAAGUAUAAGGUUAUGAGCUGGUUCUCCCGGG